GUGUCUAGUGAGAGUCCCGAACGACGUCGUUUUUGAGGUGAGUGUUUUCUUCUUCAACUUCCGUUUCUUUCCGCAUUUUUCUGUUUCAGUUUCAGUUUCUCCCGCACCUCUCUCGCGCACGUCUCUCUUUUCUUUUCGGUUUCAUCUUUAUUUCCAGUUGUUGGCAUUAUUUUGAGGUUCCGAAUCCCAUGCCCUAGACUUCCUCAUUGUUUCGGUUUCUCUCUUGCGCUGCAUCUUAUUCCAGUGAGUUGUCGUCUGCUGCAUCUCUGUUUCUCUCCAUUUUUAUGUUUCUGUUCUUCCUCUGUAAGUCAGCGAGCAGUACCUCUCAUUCCUCCAUUUUUCGACUGUUUCUGUUUUGGCCGUGAGGUUUGGGUUGCGUUUGUGUGUCUGGGUGUUGUGCGUGGUGAGUCUUCAGGCGGUGCCGUUGUUUUCUUCCCCACUCCGAAACCCCACUUUGACGCUCAUUUCUCUUACAGUCCACUUUGUUUCACUUCUGUCCGCAUUGUGUUUAAUCUCCUUGCUGUGGCUUGGCAUUGAACUCUGUUGAGCGGGUAAGGAGGCCGUGAACCAUACUUUUCAUGGUGACGAGACUAAUAGAGGUCAUUUUCAAGGCUUAGAUAAUACGCUACAAGAGUCAGAUGAUGUGGAAAGUCCAAAUGAGGACAUGGAUUAGAUUGGUGAACGUGUUUAAGUUGAGGAAAUGUGGUUAGAAGAAGGACUUCUGAUAUUCUUAAUUUUAAUGUCUUUGAGUUUUAAUUAUAUUUUCAGGCUUAGUAGGACCUAUAGUUUUAUCAGUUUGGUAUGUUACUAUUACCGGGAGAUUGUGGACCCUUUGAUAUUUUUUUUAUUAUUGCAUUUAAGAUUGUGUGGAGUUUGUAAUGAGAUUAUUGAGAAGAUAUGAGAUUGAUUUCAUUUAUGAAGUUUUUGGAGAU